AUGAACGCUGGCGGCGUGCCUAAUACAUGCCAGUCGAGCGAACGGACGAGAAGCUUGCUUCUCUGAUGUUAGCGGCGGACGGGUGAGUAACACGUGGAUAACCUACCUAUAAGACUGGGAUAACUUCGGGAAACCGGAGCUAAUACCGGAUAAUAUUUUGAACCGCAUGGUUCAAAAGUGAAAGACGGUCUUGCUGUCACUUAUAGAUGGAUCCGCGCUGCAUUAGCUAGUUGGUAAGGUAACGGCUUACCAAGGCAACGAUGCAUAGCCGACCUGAGAGGGUGAUCGGCCACACUGGAACUGAGACACGGUCCAGACUCCUACGGGAGGCAGCAGUAGGGAAUCUUCCGCAAUGGGCGAAAGCCUGACGGAGCAACGCCGCGUGAGUGAUGAAGGUCUUCGGAUCGUAAAACUCUGUUAUUAGGGAAGAACAUAUGUGUAAGUAACUGUGCACAUCUUGACGGUACCUAAUCAGAAAGCCACGGCUAACUACGUGC
rnacentral:rRNA from 1 species